GGCGAACUCUCAGCAUAGCUGACAAUGCUGAUCAUGAAGAAAUUACUGUAGCUCUGCAUGAAGAGUAUCCGAAGAUGAAGGCCCUAACUGGUGGAUGGCUCUUGUAUAAAGCAGGAGGUGGUAGCGGACAGAGAAAUCUCUCUUUAGUAUCUCAGGG